rnacentral:rRNA from 1 species
CCUACGGGUGGCAGCAGUGAGGAAUAUUGGUCAAUGGACGAGAGUCUGAACCAGCCAAGUAGCGUGAAGGAUGACUGCCCUCUGGGUUGUAAACUUCUUUUAUAUGGGAAUAAAAUGUUCCACGUGUGGGAUUUUGUAUGUACCAUAUGAAUAAGGAUCGGCUAACUCCGUGCCAGCAGCCGCGGUAAUACGGAGGGUCCGAGCGUUAUUCGGAUUUAUUGGGUGUAAAGGGCGCGUAGGUGGAUUGUUAAGUCAGUUGUGAAAAUUUGCGGCUCAACCGUAAAAUUGCAGUUGAAACUGGCAGUCUUGAGUACAGUAGAGGUGGGCGGAAUGCGUGGUGUAGCGGUGAAAUGCUUAGAUAUCACGAAGAACUCCGAUUGCGAAGGCAGUUCACUGGACUGCAACUGACACUGAGGCUCGAAAGUGUGGGUAUCAAACAGGAUUAGAUACCCCUGUAGUC